GUGGGGAAUUUUCCGCAAUGGGCGCAAGCCUGACGGAGCAAUACCGCGUGAGGGAGGAAGGCUCUUGGGUUGUAAACCUCUUUUCUCAGGGAAUAACAAGAUGAAGGUACCUGAGGAAUCAGCAUCGGCUAACUCCGUGCCAGCAGCCGCGGUAAUACGGAGGAUGCAAGCGUUAUCCGGAAUGAUUGGGCGUAAAGCGUCCGCAGGUGGCACGUCAAGUCUGCUGUCAAAGGUCGGGGCUUAACUCCGAACAGGCAGUGGAAACUGACAAGCUCGAGUGAGGUAGGGGCAGAGGGAAUUCCCAGUGUAGCGGUGAAAUGCGUAGAGAUUGGGAAGAACACCGGUGGCGAAAGCGCUCUGCUGGACCAGAACUGACACUGAGGGACGAAAGCUAGGGGAGCGA
rnacentral:rRNA from 1 species